rnacentral:rRNA from 1 species
GAAUAUGGGGGGACCAUCCUCCAAGGCUAAAUACUCCUGACUGACCGAUAGUGAACCAGUACCGUGAGGGAAAGGCGAAAAGAACCCCGGCGAGGGGAGUGAAAAAGAACCUGAAACCGUGUACGUACAAGCAGUGGGAGCCUCUUUAUGGGGUGACUGCGUACCUUUUGUAUAAUGGGUCAGCGACUUAUAUUCUGUAGCAAGGUUAACCGAAUAGGGGAGCCGAAGGGAAACCGAGUCUUAACUGGGCGUUAAGUUGCAGGGUAUAGACCCGAAACCCGGUGAUCUAGCCAUGGGCAGGUUGAAGGUUGGGUAACACUAACUGGAGGACCGAACCGACUAAUGUUGAAAAAUUAGCGGAUGACUUGUGGCUGGGGGUGAAAGGCCAAUCAAACCGGGAGAUAGCUGGUUCUCCCCGAAAGCUAUUUAGGUAGCGCCUCGUGAAUUCAUCUCCGGGGGUAG